rnacentral:lncRNA from 1 species
UGUUUACCUUUCAAACAUAUACAUUGCUUUUUUACCACAUCGCGUUUCCCACAUAUAAAAAUGUAAACCCAAAUUGAAAUAACUGAACAACAGUUUAGGACUAUGCCAUUUGCUUUCAUUUCUUCAUGAUUAUAGGGACUUAGCAUACACACACACACACAUCACAUCACAAAAUAGGCGCUUUCAUGCCCCUGGGCUUUUAUUGAAGUUGUGGCUUCAAUUCCCUGUUGCCCUUUCUCCUUUUCUUCCCCAGAGUGAAUCCUUGAUCCUUGUCCAUUCCCCUUCAGCUCCAGUAUCUUCUCCUUGGUCCUACCUUUUCCCAACUUGGCCCACCCCCUGUUGAAAGAAUGAAACAUCCCUGUUCUCUGCUCCCGGAGCUUUUUCCCACGUGGUUAAAACCCAGCUGGGGCGCCUGGGUGGCUCGGUCAGUUGAGCAUCCAACUCUUGAUCUCAGCUCAGGUCUUCAUCCUAGGUUGUGAGCUCAAGCCCCGUGUGGGGCUCCCUGCUGGGCGUGAAGCCUGCUUAAAAAACAAAACAAAACAAACAAACAAACAAAAACCCACAUAGCAAUCAGUGGCAUAAAUGAAUAGAAGAAUGUUAUUUAGUUUUUAAGAAACGCUACCUCAGUACUCCAUAAAUGAGCGUUAAACUGCUAUAGCCAAACAAGAUAGACCCAAAAUAGAAGGGCACUCGCAAGAUGGAAGUUUCUUUCUUCCGGGGCACCUGGGUAGCUCUGUCGGUUCAGCGUCAGACUCCGGCUCAGGUCGAGACCUCACGGUUCGUGGGUUCGAGCCCCACAUCGGGACCUCCACUGCCAGCACGGAGCCCACUUUGGAUACUCUGUCUCCCAGAUCCAAGCAUUCGCCUGGCUUGGAGAUUUCCUUCACCCUGCUGGCCUCUGGGAAGAGCUAGAGGAAUGUGAAUUUCCCAGUCGGGGUCCUCAUUCUCCAUGCUUCCUGCUCAACAUCACUCUCUCAGUCCUUCAUCCCCUAGACAUGUCAGGGAACCUCUGCACGCAAGCUCAGACGUACCUGGUACUGUGGCUUGAAUUAUGUCCCCCCCAAAUGAUAGGUUGACAUCCUAACCUCCAGUAGCUAAAAUGUGAUCUUAUUUGGAAGUAGGGUCUUUACGGAAGUAAUGAGGUUAAAAUGGGGUCAUCUGGGCAGGCCUAAUCCAAUAUGACUGGUGUCUUUAUAAAAAGGGGCAAUUUGGACACGGUCCCCCACGUAGCGAAAAUGCCACGCGGACGUGAAUGUAGAGAGCAGGGUAAUGUGUCUAUAAGCCAAGGAAUGCCAAAGAUCGCCAGCAAACCUUCACAAAGGAGGGGAGAGGCACGGAAGAGAUUCUCCGCCACACAAACCCUACCAACACUCUGAUCUUAGACUUCCAGCCUCCAAAACCAUGAGACAAUACAUGCCUGUUGUUUAAGCCACCCACUUUGUGGUGCUUUGUUAUGACAGCCCAAGCUGACACACUUGGGAACCUCGCCCACUCACAGCCUGCAUCCUGGCCAUCGUUCCAGAAGGUCCUACCACAAGCCCCCCGGGGACAGGGAAACUAGACAUCACACCAGGGUCACUGGGCCAUCAAGUCACAGAGCUGGCAAGGGCACUGCAGAAGCUAAGUCAUCUGCGGAUCAAAACUGCAAUGAGUCUAUCACCUGACACCCAUCGGAAUGGCCACUACCGGACCCCAGAAAAUAACAAAGUGUUGACAAGGAUGCGGAGAAAUCGGAAUCCUGGUGAACUGCUGGUGGGAAGGUAAAAAUGGCAUGCUGCGGAAGACGGCAUGAAGGUUCUUCAACGAACUGAACCAGAAUUGCUACAUGACCCAACAACUCCACUUCUGGCUAUAGAUCCAAAGGGACUGAGAGCAGGGUCUUGAAGAGAUAACGGCAUACCCACAUCCACUGCAGUAUUAUUCACCAUAGCCACGAGGUAGACGUAGCACAAGUACCCGUCCUCAGACGCAUGGAUACACUGCGGUAGAUACACGGUCACCCAGAAAAUUAAGGAGAUCCUGUCACGUGCUCCAACAUGGUUGACCCUUGAGGACCCUAUGCUGGGUGAAAUGAGCCGGUCACCAAAGGACAAAUACUGUAUGAUCCUACUUACAUGGGGUAUCUGCAGUAGUCAAAAUCAUGGAAACAGAAGGCAGAGGAAUGUUUGCCAGGGGACGGGGGGGAGGGGAGCACGGGGAGCUAUUCAACGGGUAUUGAGUUUCAGUUUCACAAGGUGAAAAGUUCUGGAGAUCUGUUACACAAUAAUGUGGAUACAGUUAACACUACUAAACUGCACACCUAAAAAUUAAGAGAAUAAACUUUACGUUAUGUGGGUUUGUUAACCA